rnacentral:rRNA from 1 species
UACGUAGGGGGCGAGCGUUAUCCGGAUUUACUGGGCGUAAAGCGUGUGCAGGCGGUUGAGUAAGUUGGAUGUGAAAGCUCCUGGCUUAACUGGGAGAGGUCGUUCAAUACUACUUGACUAGAGGAUGGGAGAGGGAGGUGGAAUUCCGGGUGUAGUGGUGAAAUGCGUAGAUAUCCGGAGGAACACCAGUGGCGAAAGCGGCCUCCUGGCCCAUGUCUAACGCUCAUACACGAAAGCUAGGGGAGCGAAC